UGCAAUGCUAUACAUCCCACCAUCCCUUGCUCUUGCAGUGUCUUCCCCACCCUGAUGCCUAUGAGGGCACAAAGGUAGAGACGGUGUGGUCAGAGCAGCUUGUACAUACAGCUUGUCGGUGGCUCCUGUAUGGGUGUGAGGCAUCCUCUAUUGCCAUUCUUGGCCUCUUCAUUUCAGGGAGAGACAGCCUGGCUUCUUCCCUUUUCACCUGACAAGAUAUUCCUUAGGUUUACUAGGCUAAUUUAAAAAGCUGCCAUCAAGCAGAAUGUUAUAUUCUGGUUGUAUGCCUUUACCUCCCUACCCUUUCUGCCAGUGCUUAGAUACAUAGGUGUCAAUCCCUAGUAUGGGACUGGCUGCUGUGGGUGAGAGGGAGGCAGCAGUACAGGAAUUUGGUUAAUAUCAUAAAGGAUGUCCAGAGGAAAUGAGAACAUUGGGUAAAUAAGCCAGUCAGGGACUAGUUAAUGGUAGAGCUGCCAUCCCUCUCUGACUACCUACCUUAUAUUUGAGAUGUGUUUUCUCAGAACAAGCUGACUUUGUACCAGUGGCUAUGGGAGAAAAAUGUUUGAGCUCAUCACUGUUUCCCAUAUCUUCCUCAUUUUCUUUUUUUUUUUUUUCUUGUUAAAUCUGACUUUCUUAGCUGAGAACAGGCUAAGUACGUCCAAAGCAACUCAGCAACCAGUGCAGAUAAAGCCAGGGCUGUCAGAAAUUGCCAAGCAGAGGCAUUUUUUGUAGUCUAAAAUGAAGGAUGGAAGAGCCCAUUUGGAUAAAAAAAGAAUUAACCUUGAACCUCUCCCUGAAGUCUGAUUCAAACAUGAAUCUCAUUUGUAUUAAAAAGGAAAAGGGGAGAAAAUAUAAUUUACUUAGCUCUUUUAUGCAGAGUCUGCAGUUCCUGGUUUGAAGAAGCAAUGAGCUAAAGAGAAACCAGAGUGGACUGGGCCACCAAUAUGAGAAUCCCUGCCAAUUUUGAGUGUCCUGUGGAAAAGCUAAUACAGCAAGAACAUGAAAAAAGUGAGGAUGGUGGGUGGUACAGGUAUCAAUCCAUCUUACCCAUUCUGUGUUUAAAAAAAAAAGUGUCAGUGAUGAAUUGAGUGAGGAAUCUGCUCUUUCUUCAGCCACGCCAAGUGAAGAGUGAAUGACAGUGAGUUCUCAACUGCUCUUUUGCUUGGAGAUUGGCAGGAGAUCAUUGAAAUCACGAGGUCAUACAAGGAGAAGAUCUAAUGGAAAAUUCUCCCAGUCUCAGCUGGAUAGAAUAUGGAUUCAAAUCUAUCCCAUCGAUUAAAGCUUUGAUUUCAUCCCCUUGAAA